GGGAUGUCCUGGUGGGGGGUUGUGUUCUGAAACCAGAUUGUUUCUCAUGUCUAAAACAAGAUUCCCACUCACAGAUACAACAAGGAAGUGGAUGUCGGUUGCUUUUGAAGCAGCUGCAUUUCUUUAAGGUUACACGUUGGGCUCAUUUUAUCACUCCUGGAGGUCUCUGCCUGAAUCCCCACUCCAUUUAUUUCCGCUUUGCUGUGAGGAAUCUUUGAGAUUUUCGACAUCUUAGGUGAGGGUCUCUGUCCGCACCACCGAAACGAUAAGAAAGGCCCAACAUCUCAACCUCCAUCCUCUCAUUCUGGUCUGUCUGGAAUAUUCUGAAACUCCGUCUUCUGUUUCAGGAGUCUGGCUGCAGUCGUGGUCUUCAGGAGUCAUCUCUGGUGAAGUGGAUAAAAGAG